GGGGAUGCAUUGCAUCGACAGGAAUGCACUUUAAAAAACAGCAAGCCGACAAUGAUUGAAAGUCGUAAAACUCAAUCAAAACAUAAAUGCUAGAGAUUCAUUCUCCAGCGAUCGAUUUGCUUACGCAUACGCGUAAAUAAAUUAAUCUGUUUAUAAAAACUUUUCUCAAUGGGAUUUUAUAAGCAUAACUACAGUUGAGAGAUGGUGAGGAAAGUUGGUUUCUGUCCUUAUUGUAUUUAUCAACCUUGGUGCUAUUUUCUCUUGUUGAUUGGAAAAAAAUAGUGCGACACAAAAUAAUCAACUAAGCUUGUAGAAGUUUUUAAUGUAAUUUCUUGGACUCGAGCUCACUGCUCGACAUCUCCACAA
rnacentral:tmRNA from 1 species